rnacentral:tRNA from 1 species
GCGCCUGUAGCUCAGGUGGACAGAGCACCGGCCUUCUAAGCCGGCGGUCGCAGGUUCGAAUCCUGCCAGGCGCGCCA